rnacentral:tRNA from 1 species
GCCGGCGUAACUCAACUGGUAGAGCGGCGCCUUUUAAGCGACCCGAUAGGGGUUCGAGUCCUCUCGCCGGCACCA